AGUCAUAUUAUAUUGAAACACCAGUUCUCAUCCAAUCACUGAAGUUAAGCAACGUUGGACCUUGUCAGUACCUACAUGGGUGAUCACUGGAGAAUACCAGUUGCUGUAAG